GCGGAAGUAGCUCAGUGGUAGAGCACCACCUUGCCAAGGUGGGGGUCGCGGGUUCGAACCCCGUCUUCCGCU
rnacentral:tRNA from 4 species